AGCCGCUCCCCUCAGCCGCUCCCCUCAGCCGCUCCCCUCAGCCAGCCCCUUCGGCCGCCCCUACCCUCAGCACCGUGGGGGUUGCGACGUACGGGAGGGCCCCUUGCCGCCCUCGGAAUGAGGGGGAAGCAGUGACACUCAGCUGGAUGCAUGUCCAACCGGAUGGAAAGACAGGUGUUGCAAGGCAUGGGACUGUGUGACAGCCACCCUGUCUCACCAAAUGUUGAUAUUCCUGCGUUGUUGACAAGUCCCCAGAAACCUAGAGAAGAGAAAUGUCUCAACAAGUACCUUUCACUGCAAAACAAACACCAUCGGACGGCAAAGGAACAUUGGCGAUUUGGGCCCUUGGAAACAUUUUAGUUGUGUUUUCUUUUAGUCUUUCUAUUUCUAUGUGCAGGUGUGUUUGUUUAAUGAAGGAAUGUAAUUGUGGCCAUUAGCUGGACUAUUGUAUGGUUUAAGCCCCGCCAGCAGCUAAGUGCCAAGAAGCCACACACUCCUCCCCUCUCUUAGCGGACUGGAGAGGAGAAUCACAAAAAAAAUUAACACUCAUGAGAUAAGGACAGUUUAAGCACUAAAAUAAUAAUAAUAAAACAUAAUAAUGAUUGUAAUAAAAAAGUAUGUAACAAAAAAAGACAAUAAUACAAUCCAACUAAAGGCAAAUGAUGCACAAUGCAGUUGUUUACCACCUACACACCAAUGCUUAAGCUGCCCCUAUUGGCCAACCCCCCCAAGCCCUUCAGUUUAUAUGCUAAGUAUGACAUGCCAUGGUAUGGAAUAUCCUUUUGGCUUUGUACCUCCUUGCUGGCAGAGUAAGGGAAACUGAAAAAACUUUGACUUAGGAUAAGCACUACUUAGCAACAGCUACAGUAUCAGUGUGCUAUCAACAUUAUUCUCCCACUGACCCCAAAACACGCCACUGUACAAGCUGCUAGGAAGAAAAUUAACUCAUUCCCAGCUGAAACCAGGAGAACCAUGUAAGUCUCACUGCUAUGUAAUAAUCACUCACUUUAUAGUUGUCUUAAGAUAUUUAUGAAAAACAUGAUCUGGGAGACUACAUAUAACUGCCACUGCAGUGUACUAUGAUAUGCUAUGUUAAUUACUUAAAUACCACUGUGAGAAGCUUUGUGAAAAUUAUAUUAAGCAGUGUAAUGGCUAAGGGGUAAUCUUAGUGCUUGACUAAUUUAGGAGCCCAAGUUCUGGCUCCUUUUCCCAGUAUUUGUCCUUGAAUUCCUUCUUGAAAUCAGCCAGAAUCAGGUACAUGGGUGCA